rnacentral:rRNA from 1 species
AGAUAAGUUGGAAGUGAAAUCCUAUGGCUUAACCAUAGAACUGCUUCCAAAACUGUCUAUCUAGAAUAUGGGAGAGGUAGAUGGAAUUUCUGGUGUAGGGGUAAAAUCCGUAGAGAUCAGAAGGAAUACCGAUUGCGAAGGCGAUCUACUGGAACAUUAUUGACGCUCAGAUGCGAAAGCGUGGGGAGCAAACAGGAUUAGAUACCCUGGUAGUCCACGCCCUAAACGAUGCACACUAGUUGUUGCCUUGCUAGACAAGGCAGUAAUGCAGUUAACACAGUAAGUGUGCCGCCUGGGGAGUACGGUCGCAAGAUUAAAACUCAAAGGAAUAGACGGGGACCCGCACAAGCGGUGGAGCAUGUGGUUUAAUUCGACGAUACGCGAAGAACCUUACCUGGCCUUGACAUAGAGAGAACUUACUAGAGAUAGUUUGGUGCUAGCUUGCUAGAACUUUCAUACAGGUGCUGCACGGCUGUCGUCAGCUCGUGUCGUGAGAUGUUGGGUUAAGUCCCGCAACGAGCGCAACCCUCGUGUUUAGUUAAUAACGGUUCGGCCGAUGACUCUAAACAGACUGCCUGGGUAACCAGGAGGAAGGUGAGGACGACGUCAAGUCAUCAUGGCCCUUACGGCCAGGGCUACACACGUGCUACAAUGGGGUAUACAAAGAGCAGCGAUACCGCAAGGUGGAGCAAAUCUCAUAAAAUAU